rnacentral:rRNA from 1 species
UACAGAGGUCUCAAGCGUUGUUCGGAUUCAUUGGGCGUAAAGGGUGCGUAGGCGGCGCGGUAAGUCGGGUGUGAAAUCUCGGAGCUUAACUCCGAAACUGCAUUCGAUACUGCCGUGCUUGAGGACUGGAGAGGAGACUGGAAUUUACGGUGUAGCGGUGAAAUGCGUAGAUAUCGUAAGGAAGACCAGUGGCGAAGGCGGGGUCUGCUGGACAGUUCCUGACGCUGAGGCACGAAGGCCAGGGGAGCAAACGGG